rnacentral:rRNA from 1 species
GAAUAUUGGACAAUGGGCGAAAGCCUGAUCCAGCAAUGCCGCGUGUGUGAAGAAGGCCUGCGGGUUGUAAAGCACUUUCAGUAGAGAAGAAAAGCCUACGGUUAAUAACCGUGAGUCUUGACGUAACCUACAGAAGAAGCACCGGCUAACUCCGUGCCAGCAGCCGCGGUAAUACGGAGGGUGCAAGCGUUAAUCGGAAUAACUGGGCGUAAAGCGCGCGUAGGUGGUUGAGUCAGUCAGAUGUGAAAGCCCCGGGCUUAACCUGGGAACUGCACCUGAUACUGCUUGACUAGAGUACGGUAGAGGGCAGUGGAAUUUCCUGUGUAGCGGUGAAAUGCGUAGAUAUAGGAAGGAACACCAGUGGCGAAGGCGACUGCCUGGACUGAUACUGACACUGAGGUGCGAAAGCGUGGGUAGCAAACAGG